UAGUCAGUGAAGACUGAGGUAUCUGUAGAAG
rnacentral:piRNA from 1 species